AGCGAGCUGAGUGCUGAUUCUUUCCCGGUGAUGGUCGAACUCUGGACUGAAGUAGAGGCAGGAUGAAAGAGAGAGAGGAAGAUACUGGACACGGGCGUGUCUGCGGGGACUGUUCGUAUAUUGCUGAGGAGAGAGAGAGACAAACAUCGUCGCCAUCAAUAUCACGGCCAUUUACAUUUACAUCAUCUUUACUUUUUUCCUGGAGAGAGGUUUUCGCAAGCCGUUUAUUGUUUAAUGGACCCAUCUCCACAGCUCUUUUCAUCUUCCUCAGUCGUUCCCACUCCUCCUCUACAUCCCUCUCUCUUUGCGUUCUCUCAGCACUCACACAAUGAUGACUGGAGCAAAGAGGUUUGAUCUCAGCCCGACCUUCUGCUUCGACAGUCUCUGCAGGGACCUGACAUUAAAAGCGGCAGGUUGUCUCAUUACAGGAAAACAUGUGAACACGAAUCCAAACAUACACUCGCACACACGGAAUCCAUACUGUAUUUUUUGACCUUUGAAGACCAAUAAUUGCCAAAGCAUCAGGCCCUUACAGCUGUGACAGGUUGCUCCGCUGUAGCUGGUGCUGGAGCAGUUGCAGUGAAAGGUGCUCCACGACUGACUGCAGCUGCCUCCGUGUUCACAACGAUUGGGAGAACACCUGAGAGAAAGAGACAGAACGGAGAGCCUACAUUUAGCCUUUGUCGCAAUACUGCCCUUGUUGUAGAGCAAACCCUAACUUUUGCAGAGUUACACUGCGUUGUGGUAAAAUAACUCCAGAACAGAAGGGACACUCAUGACUUAAACACAUCCUCAGAAGCUGAGAGAAGAACAGAAACAAUGUGUGACAACUGACAAGGGCAGUGUGGAUGGCUAUAUUUUUGAGUUUUCUAGUUUAAUUCUACCAUGUCCAAAUACUUAUGUACCUAACUGUAUAUGA